rnacentral:rRNA from 1 species
UACGUAGGGGGGCUAGCGUUGUCCGGAAUCAUUGGGCGUAAAGCGCGUGUAGGCGGUCCGGUAAGUCCGCUGUGAAAGUCGGGGGGCUCAACCCUCGGAUGCCGGUGGAUACUGUCGGGCUUGAGUACGGAAGAGGAGAUUGGAAUUCCUGGUGUAGCGGUGAAAUGCGCAGAUAUCAGGAGGAACACCAACAGCGAAGGCAGAUCUCUGGGACGUUACUGACGCUGAGACGCGAAAGCGUGGGGAGCAAACAGG